UUUCAGUAAAUCAGAUGCCACAAAACUUAAACCUUUGAAGUAAAAAAUUUCCCGUGUCUCAUGACCUUCCUCUGUCAUAUGUUUAGCUACAGAUUAGAGCAAAUGUUUUAACUUAUAAUGUACAAAUUUACAAAUGAGGAUUCCAUGAAAGAAAGUCCAAAAGAUGAAAGUAACGAUAUAGGAGACGAUUUUAAAACCCGUUGUUUUAAAACGGCUGGCAUCGCCUUUGUUGCCAUGAGAUCAAAUAAUUCAGAGUUGCCAGAUUUGAGUCCACUUCAAGAUUCUUUUAGCAAUGAAGCUGAUGCGGACACUUGGUUCAAAAUGAAUAAAGGCUAAGUUGCAGAUCUUGAUUCACUUCAAACAACUCCUGCAAGAAAAGUUCAAUCAUUUCCACCCCAAGAUAUAGCUCCUGAUUUCUCAAAUGAUAACUACAAAGCACAACUCCAAAAUCUCAAGAGACGGAUAGAACUUGUCAUCGAAGAGAAGAAUGAACUGGAGAUCAAAGAAUGAAGAAG